rnacentral:rRNA from 1 species
AACGCGAAGAACCUUACCAGCCCUUGACAUGGGAACUAUGGCCCUUAGAGAUAGGGGCCUUCACUUCGGGUGGGUUCCGCACAGGUGCUGCAUGGCUGUCGUCAGCUCGUGUCGUGAGAUGUUGGGUUAAGUCCCGCAACGAGCGCAACCCUCAUUUUCAGUUGCCAGCAUUCAGUUGGGCACUCUGAAGAAACUGCCGGUGACAAGCCGGAGGAAGGUGGGGAUGACGUCAAGUCCUCAUGGCCCUUACGGGCUGGGCUACACACGUGCUACAAUGGCGGUGACAAAGAGUCGCGACCUCGCAAGGGGUAGCUAAUCUCAAAAAGCCGCCUCAGUUCAGAUUGCGCUCUGCAACUCGAGCGCAUGAAGUCGGAAUCGCUAGUAAUCGUGGGUCAGCAUACCACGGUGAAUACGUUCCCGGGCCUUGUACACACCGCUACAGU